rnacentral:rRNA from 1 species
AUUGAACGCUGGCGGAAUGCUUUACACAUGCAAGUCGAACGGCAGCACGGGGAGCUUGCUCCUGGUGGCGAGUGGCGAACGGGUGAGUAAUAUAUCGGAACGUAUCCAAUAAUGGGGGAUAACUAAGCGAAAGCUUGGCUAAUACCGCAUACGCCCUGAGGGGGAAAGCUAGGGAUCUUCGGACCUGGCGUUGAUGGAGC